rnacentral:rRNA from 1 species
UACGUAGGGGGCAAGCGUUGUCCGGAAUGACUGGGCGUAAAGGGAGUGUAGGCGGCCUUUUAAGUUAUAUGUGAAAGCCCCCGGCUUAACCGAGGAACUGCAUAUAAAACUGGAGGGCUGGAGUGCAGGAGAGGUAAGCGGAAUUUCUAGUGUAGCGGUGGAAUGCGUAGAUAUAUGGAAGAACACCAGUGGCGAAGGCGGCUGUCUGGUCUGCAACUGACGCUGAGGCUCGAAAGCAUGGGUAGCGAACAGG